AUCGAAGUGGGGAGAGCAGAGGCCAGCCCUGGCCAGGACCAGCCGGAUGUUGGAGGUGAAAGGAAGGACGGAGAGCGCUGUUCCUGGGAGGGGGUGGCCAAGGGACGCCAGAGAUGGAAGACAGUCAGGCUCCAGGUGGCGGGGCAGGCUUGUGAAAGGCCAAGGGAGAAGUAAGGUGAGGCAGCGGAACAUGCCAGACCAUCUUCCCCCAGACCGGGGGACAAGAAAACAUCA
rnacentral:lncRNA from 1 species